rfam:Halorubrum vacuolatum strain DSM 8800 genome assembly, contig: Ga0170423_108
UUGGGAACAGCACAGCUAUAGAUCCGACGCGCCGGGGCCUAUUCGCCCACGGCUUGGGAAUGUAGCAGUGC